GUCACUGACUGUGACGCAUGAUAAACUGGGAAUGAUACAGAGAAGAUCAGCAUGGCCCCUGGCGCAAGGAUGACACGCAUGAUCGUGGAGCGUUCUCAUUUUAG